rnacentral:misc_RNA from 1 species
GUUCAGUAGUAGCAGUCAAUUGUCGAUGGCCAACAGAUAAAGGGUCAAAAGCUGAUAGCUGAAAACCUGAUUCAAAAGGUGUUUUUAACAAACACUCCCAAGUCACUGGUUGGAAGCCUAAAAGCUGAAAGUUAGCUCCCAACUGCUCAACCGAACAGGCACUUAAUUAAAACCUUUUACAUUUAUAUCAAUGUUAACAAUCAUACUCAGAUUGAUAAAUAAAACGUAUAUUUUAUUAUUGAAUUAAAAAGAAUAAUUAUUUUAAUUAAUUUUUUUUCUCGCUCCAUCUCUUCUUCCCAACCAACCCCAUCCAACCACAUUCUCUCUCUCUCUCUCUCU